rnacentral:lncRNA from 1 species
CACACUGAGAAUUGAAAAUUACACACUGAGAAUUGAAAAUUACACACUGAGAAUUAAAAAUUACACACUGAGAUUUCAUAAAGACGCACUGAGAUUACAAAAAUGAAAAACGCACACUGAGAAUUGAAAAUUACACACUGAGAUUUCAAAAAGACACACUGAGAACAAAUAAACUGAAAACACACACUGAGAAUUUGAAAUUACACACUGAGAAUUUAAAAUUACACACUGAGAUUUGUGCGCACUUUUUAUGCGCACAUAUCUAAUUAGCAUA